rnacentral:misc_RNA from 1 species
UAUUGAACCCUUGAAAGGCUGAUGGAUGAUGUAUAGAGCAAUUAUGAAGAUUGAGAUGCCUCAACUGUGAACAUGUGAAAAGUGCGCAAUUUGUACAUCUUCCCAAGUGGAAGGUGAAGUACAAGAUCUUGAAUGUCAUUUCUCGAGAGGAAACAUCUGAAGUUGUCGAUCUCAGGACAACUUUCUAGAUAAGCAACAUUGAGGGUAAACUUAGUAAUGGGUCCUUCAUGAACUGUCAAAAGCUGGUAGAUAAUCUUUGUAAAUUUUAUUGUAGG